GAUGAACGCUGGCGGCGUGCCUAAUACAUGCAAGUCGAGCGAACAGACGAGGAGCUUGCUCCUCUGACGUUAGCGGCGGACGGGUGAGUAACACGUGGAUAACCUACCUAUAAGACUGGGAUAACUUCGGGAAACCGGAGCUAAUACCGGAUAAUAUAUUGAACCGCAUGGUUCAAUAGUGAAAGACGGUUUUGCUGUCACUUAUAGAUGGAUCCGCGCCGCAUUAGCUAGUUGGUAAUGUAACGGCUUACCAAGGCAACGAUGCGUAGCCGACCUGAGAGGGUGAUCGGCCACACUGGAGCUGAGACACGGUCCAGACUCCUACGGGAGGCCGCAGUAGGGAAUCUUCCGCAAUAGGCGAAAGCUUGACGGAGCAACGCGGCGUGAGUGAUGAAGGUCUUCGGAUCGUAAAACUCUGUUAUUAGGGAAGAACAAAUGUGUAAGUAACUAUGCACGUCUUGACGGUACCUAAUCAGAAAGCCACGGCUAACUACGUG
rnacentral:rRNA from 1 species